rnacentral:rRNA from 1 species
CCGACGGGGGCAGCAGUGGGGAAUAUUGGGCAAUGGACGCAAGUCUGACCCAGCAACGCCGCGUGAAGGAAGAAGGCUUUCGGGUUGUAAACUUCUUUUAAGGGGGAAGAGCAGAAGACGGUACCCCUUGAAUAAGCCACGGCUAACUACGUGCC